AUUGUCUGGAACAGACGGGUGUUGGCGAGUAUUUGUGUUAGCGUGUCGUGGCGAGAGUCUUGCAAUUUUUCAGGUUUUUGGGACCGUUGAAACUUUUCGACAGCAAUAUGCCCGUAAAGGUUAUGAUCACCUAUUGUGGUGGAUGAGGGUACAGGCCCAAGUUUGAGAAGAUCAAACAAGCAAUCCUCACAAAGUUUGAUGACACAGAAGUGGAAGUGGAAGGAUACGGAACACCAGGAAUAACCGGGUAUUUGGAAGUAGAGGUGGCUGGCAAACUUGUUCAUUCCAAAAAGGCUGGUGAUGGAUAUGUGGACUCUGACGGCAAAAUGCAGAAGAUUCUGAAUGCAGUCAAAGCAGCCCUGGCUUGAUUGUCCUCUGCAUGUGCAAGGAAAAAGUGUACAGUUGAGUUUGAACCAGCUGUUUGUUCCAGAUGGAUGACCAUUAAUGAUGGGAGCAGCUUAAAUUUACUGAUGGCUGACUUCUUGAUGAAGUAUAGUGAUUUCAUCUGGCGGCACUGUGGAAAACAAACUGUGCAUGUUAUUCCACUUUAUUCAGUUGUUUUAACGUGUGUACUCUACUGAGUAUUAAUUUCCUUUUUUUUUUUUUCUUUAGAUGUAAACAAGCUAUAGUGUAUGAGUAAUUAGUGCCUACACUGAUUUUUAUGGUGAAAUGUUUUUCACUAAUGUUGUUGUUUAACAUUUAUACUCUUCUGAGUAUUAAUUUUCAGUUUUUUGAGGCGUAAACAAGCUAUAAUGUACGAGUGGUUAGUGCCUGCACUGAUCGUUUUGGUGAAUGUUCUUCACUGAUGUAAAAAUUCCUUUUUUUUUUCUUUGUUGAAGUAAUAAAGAAAGCUUUUUGCA